rnacentral:rRNA from 1 species
UACGGAGGAUGCGAGCGUCAUCCGGAUUUAUUGGGUUUAAAGGGUGCGUAGGCGGAUCGUUAAGUCAGUGGUCAAAUUGAGGGGCUCAACCCCUUCCCGCCAUUGAAACUGGCGAUCUUGAGUGGAAGAGAAGUAUGCGGAAUGCGUGGUGUAGCGGUGAAAUGCAUAGAUAUCACGCAGAACCCCGAUUGCGAAGGCAGCAUGCCGGCUUCCGACUGACGCUGAAGCACGAAAGCGUGGGGAUCGAACAGG